GAGGAAUUUUGCGCAAUGGGGGAAACCCUGACGCAGCAACGCCGCGUGAGUGAUGAAGGCUUUCGGGUCGUAAAGCUCUGUCAAGNGGGAAGAACCUGCUCGAUGCUAAUACCAUCAAGCACUGACGGUACCA
rnacentral:rRNA from 1 species